rnacentral:rRNA from 1 species
CCUACGGGAGACAGCAGUGGGGAAUAUUGCACAAUGGGGGAAACCCUGAUGCAGCGACGCCGCGUGAGUGAGGAAGUAUUUCGGUAUGUAAAGCUCUAUCAGCAGGGAAGAAAAUGACGGUACCUGUCUAAGAAGCCCCGGCUAACUACGUGCCAGCAGCCGCUGUAAUACGUAGGGGGCAAGCGGUAUCCGGAUUUACUGGGUGUAAAGGGAGGGUAGACGGGUAAUCAAGUCAGAAGGGAAAACCCAGGGCUCAACCUUGGGACUGCCUUUGAAACUGAGUAGCUAGAGUGCAGGAGAGGUAUGCGGAAUGCGUGGUGUAGCGGUGAAAUGCGUAGAUAUUAGGAGGAACACCAGUGGCGAAGGCAGCAUACUGGAGUGUAACUGACGUUGAGGCACGAAAGCGUGGGGAGCGAACAGGAUUAGAUACCCCUGUAGUC